CCGACUGUUUAAUUAAAACAAAGCAUUGCGAAACUUUUAACAAGAUUUUUACGUAAUGUGAUUUCUGCCCAGUGCUCUGAAUGUCAAAAGUGAAGGAAUUCAACCAAGCGCGGGUAAACAGCGGGAGUAAUUAUGACUCUCUUAAGGUAGCCAAAUGCCUCGUCAUCUAAUUAGUGACGCGCAUGAAUGGAUUAACGAGAUUCCCACUGUCCCUACUUGCUAUCUAGCGAACCAACAGCCAAGGGAACGGGCUUGGCCAUGUCAGCGGGGAAAGAAGACCCUAUUGAGCUUGACUCUAGUCUAAAAUUGUGAAAUAUUUUUAUGGGUGUAGAAUAGGUGGGAAUAAACAAAAAAUUAAUAAACUGAAUACACUACCGUAAUAAUAUUUACUUAUCUAAUUAUUAUUAUUUC
rnacentral:rRNA from 1 species